GAUGAACGCUGGCGGCGUGCCUAAUACAUGCAAGUCGAGCGAACAGGCGAGGAGCUUGCUCCUCUGACGUUAGCGGCGGACGGGUGAGUAACACGUGGAUAACCUACCUAUAAGACUGGGAUAACUUCGGGAAACCGGAGCUAAUACCGGAUAAUAUAUUGAACCGCAUGGUUCAAUAGUGAAAGACGGUUUUGCUGUCACUUAUAGAUGGAUCCGCGCCGCAUUAGCUAGUUGGUAAGGUAACGGCUUACCAAGGCAACGAUGCGUAGCCGACCUGAGAGGGUGAUCGGCCACACUGGAACUGAGACACGGUCCAGACUCCUACGGGAGGCAGCAGUAGGGAAUCUUCCGCAAUGGGCGAAAGCCUGACGGAGCAACGCCGCGUGAGUGAUGAAGGUCUUCGGAUCGUAAAACUCUGUUAUUAGGGAAGAACAAAUGUGUAAGUAACUAUGCACGUCUUGACGGUACCUAAUCAGAAAGCCGCGGCUAACUACGUG
rnacentral:rRNA from 1 species